AUUGUUGAAUAAACAGACGUCAAAGUUCAACAGAAAUUUAUUUAUAGUUUAAUCUUCAGGUUCUUCAAUCAUCAGAUUUCCAGAGUUUCUCUGAUCGUUCAUGGAGAUUCUUCAGAAAUGUAGAAAUGUGACAUAAGCAUUAGCUGCUACGCGUUUAGCAUGGAGAUGCUAUUUUAGGCUAGCAUAGCUUUGCUAACAGGCUAUCUCCUUUUACCACAACCUGAACACAACAACAGUCUUUUCCAGCAUCAGAUCAUCAGUGGAAGUAUAAAUGAACCCCC